UACGGAGGGUGCGAGCGUUGUCCGGAAUCACUGGGCGUAAAGGGCGCGUAGGCGGCGCGGAUAGUCGGCGGUGAAAGCCCGGAGCUCAACUCCGGGUCGGCCGUUGAUACUUCCGGGCUUGAGCACUGUAGAGGCAGAUGGAAUUCCGGGUGUAGCGGUGGAAUGCGUAGAGAUCCGGAAGAACACCGGUGGCGAAGGCGGUCUGCUGGGCAGUUGCUGACGCUGAUGCGCGACAGCGUGGGGAGCAAACAGG
rnacentral:rRNA from 1 species